GGGGCUGAUUCUGGAUUCGACGGGAUUUGCGAAAUCCAAGGUGCAUGCCGAGGGGCGGUUGGCCUCGUAAAAAGCCGCAAAAAAUAGUCGCAAACGACGAAAACUACGCUUUAGCAGCUUAAUAACCUGCUUAGAGCCCUCUCUCCCUAGCCUCCGCUCUUAGGACGGGGAUCAAGAGAGGUCAAACCCAAAAGAGAUCGCGUGGAAGCCCUGCCUGGGGUUGAAGCGUUAAAACUUAAUCAGGCUAGUUUGUUAGUGGCGUGUCCGUCCGCAGCUGGCAAGCGAAUGUAAAGACUGACUAAGCAUGUAGUACCGAGGACGUAGGAAUUUCGGACGCGGGUUCAACUCCCGCCAGCUCCACCA
rnacentral:tmRNA from 1 species